CGAGUUAAAUUUUAGCAAAUAAAUACAUUUUGGCUUUAGUUUGCAAAUUUGACGUUUGGAUUUACGAUGCUAAAUAAGUAAAAUUUGAUGAAAUUUGAAUAAAAAGAAGCGAAAUGGUGGCCCCGAAUGGACUCGAACCAUCGACCACUACCA
rnacentral:antisense_RNA from 1 species